AUGGAUUUGUUAUCAGCUUAAAAGGUAUAUAAUAUAAAGCAUUCCUCGGUGUGGACAGAAUUGUAUCGAAUUGUAAGAGAGAAAGAAAGAGAGCAAGAUGAAGGUUUUCAUUGCUGUUUUGUUGCUAGCUGCCGUGUUUGUGUCGGUAGAAUCUGGCCAUCCGAAUUGUUAUACCUCUCAUGACUUGGAUAACCAAGAAGAUGGAUCGUGGCCACACCCAGGCUCUAUAAGCAACUUCAACAUACCCGAUUCCUUCGUUCAUCCAACUGAGAGUCAAUCACCAGAUUUUGAUUUUUCUAAUGAUAGACAGGGUCAUCAAGGAGAACAUCAACAUUCUAAGUCGCAUAAAAAACAUGCACACUAAUUAUGACAAGAUAAUACGAGAAGUCCUUUAUCCUGUUAUAUAAAUAAGUUAUUUUUAUUAUUAUGCACGCUUGUAUACAGUAAACAGUGUUCGUCUUGAA